UCCUCCCACCCCGGCGGCGCCCAACACCUCCACAUGCGUCAUAGACGGUCGGCGGCGCUCUGCAGCUCGACCUCCAUCCCAGACGAUGGCGCAUCGCCCCAGCACAUCAACUCUUUCUCUCCUCAAAGCUCUCAGACUUUGCCAAAUCAUAUUGGAGGAUGGCAUCCCUUUUAGAAUGCAGACAUUAGAUUGUAAGAAAAUUCCUGUCGGAAUGGAGACCAUAUAUUUUCAGACCUCCAUCGAGCAGGCCAAGUUCACAUAUAUUUUCAGACGAGUAGGUUGUAACUGUGGCAUCAGUUGGUGAUUCACGCUGCAUACUAGAGUCCGCUGACGGUUCACUGUACCAUUUGUCAGCCUGAUCUUCGCUUUGACUCCAACAGAGAUGAGGUAGAACGCGUCACUGCAUGUGGAAGCAAGGUUGGUCAAACUGAAUGUUGUUGGUGGUCCAGAGGAGUUUGCCAAUGACGCUGCCGGCGGCAGAAGUUCGGAGAUACGUGCAUACGGAGUUCGCAGAUGGGCUGUGUGGUGCUUUCGAUGAUGCUGUCUGUGUUUGUCAUGUGCACGCCGGCACCGCUAGUCCCGUCGUUGGCUA